rnacentral:rRNA from 1 species
UUGAACGCUGGCGGAAUGCUUUACACAUGCAAGUCGAGCGGCAGCGCGGGGGCAACCCUGGCGGCGAGCGGCGAACGGGUGAGUAACAUAUCGGAACGUAUCCUGUAGUGGGGGAUAACGCAGCGAAAGCUGUGCUAAUACCGCAUACGAUCUACGGAUGAAAGUGGGGGACCGCAAGGCCUCACGUUAUAGGAGCGGCCGAUAUUCGAUUAGCUUGUUGGUGAGGUAAAGGCUCACCAAGGCUGCGAUCGAUAGCUGGUCUGAGAGGAUGAUCAGCCACACUGGGACUGAGACACGGCCCAGACUCCUACGGGAGGCAGCAGUGGGGAAUUUUGGACAAUGGGGGCAACCCUGAUCCAGCCAUUCCGCGUGAGUGAAGAAGGCCUUCGGGUUGUAAAGCUCUUUUGGCAGGGAAGAAACGGUUGUGGUGAAUAGCCGCGACUACUGACGGUACCUGCAGAAUAAGCACCGGCUAACUACGU